rnacentral:sRNA from 1 species
GCUGGGCGCAGUGGCACACGCCUGUAAUCCCAGCAGCUUGGGAGGCUGAGAUAGGAGGAUUGCAAGUUCAAAGCCAUCCUCAGCAGAAGUGAAGCACUAAGCAACUCAGUGAGACCCUGUCUCUU